CGGCCGCCUCCUGGGGGGGCCCCGGGGGGGGGAGGGGCCGGAGCCCGAGCCCCCGUUCGAGCUGCUGAGCUGCGUGACGUUGGCGCCCCGCCCCUCUCCCGUUCGGGGCCCCCCAUUGGCUCGCGCCGAUUGGGGGCGGGGCCUGAGCCCGGCGGAGCUGCGGGAGCGAAUCUUCCGCGGGGGUGUGAGCCCCGAGUCCCAAAUGUCCCCAGGC